ACGGCCGUACCAUGCUGAAUAUACCGGUUCCCGUUAGAUCACCGAAGUCAAGCAUCAUUGGGCGCGGUCAGUACUUGGGAGGGUGACCACCUGGGAACACCGAGUGCCGUUG
rnacentral:rRNA from 1 species